CCUACGGGUGGCAGCAGUGAGGAAUAUUGGUCAAUGGACGAGAGUCUGAACCAGCCAAGUAGCGUGAAGGAUGACUGCCCUAUGGGUUGUAAACUUCUUUUAUAAAGGAAUAAAACGAGGCACGUGUGCCUUUUUGCAUGUACUUUAUGAAUAACGAUAGGAUAACUCCGUGCCAGCAGCCGCGGUAAUACGGAGGAUCCGAGCGUUAUCCGGAUUUAUUGGGUUUAAAGGGAGCGUAGAUGGGUUGUUAAGUCAGUUGUGAAAGUUUGCGGCUCAACCGUAAAAUUGCAAUUGAUACUGGCAGUCUUGAGUACAGUUGAGGUAGGCGGAAUUCGUGGUGUAGCGGUGAAAUGCGUAGAUAUCACGAAGAACCCCGAUUGCGAAGGCAGCUUACUAGACUGUGACUGACAUUGAUGCUCGAAAGUGUGGGGAUCAAACAGGAUUAGAUACCCUAGUAGUC
rnacentral:rRNA from 1 species